CACGUAGGAGGCGAGCGUUGUCCGGAAUCAUCGGGCGUAAAGAGCGCGCAGGCGGCCCGGCAAGUCGGGUGUGAAAUCCCGGGGCUCAACCCCGGGACUGCAUUCGAUACUGCCGGGCUAGAGGUAGGUAGGGGAGAUCGGAAUUCCUGGUGUAGCGGUGAAAUGCGCAGAUAUCAGGAGGAACACCGGUGGCGAAGGCGGAUCUCUGGGCCUUACCUGACGCUCAGGCGCGAAAGCUAGGGGAGCGAACAGG
rnacentral:rRNA from 1 species